AUUGAACGCUGGCGGCAGGCCUAACACAUGCAAGUCGAGCGGAGCGGCCGACGGGCGAGUAAUGCCUAGGAAUCUGCCUGGUCGUGGGGGAUAACUUCCGGCAGCGGGCGCUAAUACCGCAUACUCUCAGACGAGCCUAGGUCGGAUUAGCUAGUUGGUGGGUUAAAGGCCUACCAAGGCGACGAUCCGUAGCUGGUCUGAGAGGAUGAUCAGUCACACUGGGACUGAGACACGGUCCAGACUCCUACGGGAGGCAGCAGUGGGGAAUAUUGCACAAUGGGCGCAAGCCUGAUGCAGCCAUGCCGCGUGUAUGAAGAAGGCCUUCGGGUUGUAAAGUACUUUCAGCGGGGAGGCGUUACCCGCAGAAGAAGCACCGGCUAACUCCGUGCCAGCAGCCGCGGUAAUUC
rnacentral:rRNA from 1 species